rnacentral:lncRNA from 1 species
UUUUUGUAGAGAAAUAUUGUACAUUUUGGGGUUGUGAUAGGAUAACAAGAAUUUUUGGUGAUAUAUGAGUAUUCUUUUAGAUUUUUUGAUCAAUAGGUUGUAUAUUUUAGAUAAAAUUCUCAAAAAUUCUAUUUUGUGGAAAGUUUUCAUUUUUAUAGAGAAAUAUUGUAAAUUUGGGGUUGUGAUUUAGAAUUUAGGAUAUAUAGAAUUUUUGUUGAUAGAUGAGUAUUCUUUUAGAAUUUUUGAUCAAUAAGUUGUAUUUUUUAGAUAAAAUUCUCAAAAAUUCUAUUUUAUUAAAGUUUUUAUUUUUAUUAAGAAAUAUUGUAGAUUUGGGGUUCUGAUUUAGAAAUUAGGCUAAGAAGAAUUUUUUUUGAUAGAUGAGCAUUCUUUUAAAAGUUUUGAUCAAUAGGUUGUAUAUUUUAGAUAAAAUUCUCAAAAAUUAUAUUUUUGGAAAAUUUUCAUUUUUGUGAGUAAUAGUGUGGAUUUGGGGUUUUGAUUUAGAAAUUAGGAUAACAAGAAUUGUUUGUUGAUAGAUGAGUAUUCUUUUAGAUUUUUUGAUCAAUAGUUGUAUUUUUUAAAUAUAAUUCUCAAAAGUUCAAUUUAAAGAAAGUUUUCAUUUUCUAUAGAAAUAUUGUAGAUUUGAGGUUGUGAUUUAGAAAUUAGAAUAACAUAAUUUUUUGUUGAUAGAUGAGUAUUCUUUUAAAAAUUUUGAUCAAUAGGUCGUAUAUUUUAGAUAAAAUUCUCAAAAAUUCUAUUUUAGGAAAGUUUUUAUUUUUAUUGAGAAAUAAUGUAGAUUUGGGGUUCUGAUUUAGAAAUUAGGAUAACAAAAUUUUUUGUUGAUAGAUGAGUAUUCUUUUAAAUAUUUUGAUCAAAUGGUUGUAUAUUUUAGAUAAAAUUCUCAAAAAUUCUAUUAUUGGAAAUUUUUCAUUUUUAUAGAGAAAUAUUGUAGACUUGAGUUCUGAUUUAGAAAUUAUGAUAGCAAGAAUUUUUGUUGAUAGAAGAAUAUUCUUUUAAAAGUUUUGAUCAAUAG